CCUACGGGAGGCAGCAAUUAGGAAUAUUCCACAAUGGGGGCAACCCUGAUGUAGCGACACCGCGUGGAGGAAGAAGGUUCUCGGAUCGUAAACUCCUUUUAUAUGGGACGAAUAGAUGACGGUACCAUAUGAAUAAGUACCUGCUAACUACGUGCCAGAAGCAUCGGUGAUGCGUAGGGUACAAACGUUAUCCGGAUUUAUUGGGCGUGAAGAGAAGCGUAGGCGUUUUUGUAAGUCUUGAGUUAAAGACCACGGCUCAACCGUGGAAGGGCUUUCGAUACUGCAAGAAUUGAGACAGGAAUGGGCGAAUGGAAUUCCGAGUGGAGCGGUGAAAUGCGUUGAUAUUCGGAGGAACAUCAGUGGCGAAGGCGAUUCGCUGGUCCUUGUCUGACGCUAAGGCUCGAAAGCGUGGGUAGCAAAAC
rnacentral:rRNA from 1 species